rnacentral:rRNA from 1 species
GAUGAACGCUGGCGGCGUGCCUAAUACAUGCAAGUCGAGCGAACGGACGAGAAGCUUGCUUCUCUGAUGUUAGCGGCGGACGGGUGAGUAACACGUGGAUAACCUACCUAUAAGACUGGGAUAACUUCGGGAAACCGGAGCUAAUACCGGAUAAUAUUUUGAACCGCAUGGUUCAAAAGUGAAAGACGGUCUUGCUGUCACUUAUAGAUGGAUCCGCGCUGCAUUAGCUAGUUGGUAAGGUAACGGCUUACCAAGGCAACGAUGCAUAGCCGACCUGAGAGGGUGAUCGGCCACACUGGAACUGAGUCACGGUCCAGACUCCUACGGGAGGCAGCAGUAGGGAAUCUUCCGCAAUGGGCGAAAGCCUGACGGAGCAACGCCGCGUGAGUGAUGAAGGUCUUCGGAUCGUAAAACUCUGUUAUUAGGGAAGAACAUAUGUGUAAGUAACUGCGCACAUCUUGACGGUACCUAAUCAGAAAGCCACGGCUAACUACGUG